rnacentral:tRNA from 1 species
GGCAAGAUGGCCGAGUGGUUAAGGCGGAGCACGUGAGUUGCUCUGGUGCAAACCUCCAGGGUUCGACUCCCUGUCUUGCCA